rnacentral:rRNA from 1 species
UACAGAGGGGGCAAGCGUUAUUCGGAAUUAUUGGGCGUAAAGGGCGCGUAGGCGGCUUUGCAAGUGGCGGGUGAAAUCCCUCGGCUUAACCGAGGAACUGCCUGCCAGACUGUGAGGCUUGAGACCGGAAGAGGUGAGUGGAAUUCCCAGUGUAGCGGUGAAAUGCGUAGAUAUUGGGAGGAACACCAGUGGCGAAGGCGGCUCACUGGACCGGAACUGACGCUGAGGCGCGAAAGCGUGGGGAGCAAACAGG